rfam:Coniophora puteana RWD-64-598 SS2 unplaced genomic scaffold CONPTscaffold_14, whole genome shotgun sequence.
GGCUACCUGGCGCAAUGGUAGCGCGUUUGGCUUCGAUUGCCGACGGCACCAAAAGGUUGCAGGUUCGAGUCCUGCGGUGGUCA